AGAGUUUGAUCCUGGCUCAGAACGAACGCUGGCGGCAUGCCUAACACAUGCAAGUCGAACGAGACCUUCGGGUCUAGUGGCGCACGGGUGCGUAACGCGUGGGAACCUGCCUUUAGGUUCGGAAUAACAGUGAGAAAUUACUGCUAAUACCGGAUAAUGUCUUCGGACCAAAGAUUUAUCGCCUUUAGAUGGGCCCGCGUUGGAUUAGCUAGUUGGUGGGGUAAAGGCCUACCAAGGCGACGAUCCAUAGCUGGUCUGAGAGGAUGAUCAGCCACACUGGGACUGAGACACGGCCCAGACUCCUACGGGAGGCAGCAGUGGGGAAUAUUGGACAAUGGGCGAAAGCCUGAUCCAGCAAUGCCGCGUGAGUGAUGAAGGCCUUAGGGUUGUAAAGCUCUUUUACUGGGGAUGAUAAUGACAGUACCCAGAGAAUAAGCUCCGGCUAACUCCGUGCCAGCAGCCGCGGUAAUACGGAGGGAGCUAGCGUUGUUCGGAAUUACUGGGCGUAAAGCGCACGUAGGCGGCUUUUUAAGUCAGGGGUGAAAUCCCGGGGCUCAACCCCGGAACUGCCCUUGAAACUGGGAAGCUA
rnacentral:rRNA from 1 species